AUUGAACGCUGGCGGCAGGCCUAACACAUGCAAGUCGAGCGAGCGGCGGACGUGUGAGUAAUGUAUGGGGAACUGCCUGAUGGAGGGGGAUAACUACUGGACACGGUAGCUAAUACCGCAUACCAUCAGCUGCACCCAUAUGGGAUUAGCUUGUCGGUGAGGUAAAGGGUCACCUAGGCGACGAUCCCUCGCUGGUCUGAGAGGAUGACAAGCCACACUGGGACUGAGACACGGCCCAGACUCCUACGGGAGGCAGCAGUGGGGAAUAGUGCACAAUGGGCGCAAGCCUGAUGCAGCCAUGCCGCGUGUGUGAAGAAGGCCUUCGGGUUGUAAAGUACUGUCAGUCGGGAGGCGUUACCGACAGAAGAAGCACCGGCUAACUCCGUGCCAGCAGCCGCGGUAAUAC
rnacentral:rRNA from 1 species